UUGCCCUCCACUCACCGCCAGAUCGUUGUUUUUACAACCUGAAACAUCCCACUCGCCAUCUGCCCAUUUGUCUGUCUACUCUUUCAACUCAAUGAUGAGUGAUUUGCAGUUGAUGGAAUUGGAGGAUGAGCUCAAGAGUGUAGAUACAUUUCUUGAACAUCUCAAGACAGAAGAGG